UGGGGAAUCUUGCACAAUGGGGGCAACCCUGAUGCAGCGACGCCGCGUGAGCGAUGAAGCCCUUCGGGGCGCAAAGCUCUUUCGACCGGAACGAUAAUGACGGUACCGGGAGAAGAAGCUGCGGCUAACUACGUGCCAGCAGCCGCGGUAAUACGUAGGCAGCAAGCGUUGUUCGGAGUUACUGGGCGUAAAGAGUGCGUAGGCGGUUUUCUAAGUUCGGUGUGAAAUCUCCCGGCUUAACUGGGAGGGUGCGCCGAAGACUGGGAAGCUGGAGUGUGGGAAAGGCAGGCGGAAUUCCUGGUGUAGCGGUGAAAUGCGUAGAUAUCAGGAGGAACACCGGCGGUGUAGACGGCUUGCUAGACCAUAACUGACGCUGAGGCACGAAAGCGUGGGUAGCAAACA
rnacentral:rRNA from 1 species